UCUCCAGACUCCUACGGGAGGCAGCAGUGAGGAAUAUUGGUCAAUGGGCGGAAGCCUGAACCAGCCAAGUCGCGUGAGGGAAUAAGGCCCUACGGGUCGUAAACCUCUUUUGCCGGGGAGCAAGGGCGGGGACGUGUCCCGGCCCGGAGAGUACCCGGAGAAAAAGCAUCGGCUAACUCCGUGCCAGCAGCCGCGGUAAUACGGAGGAUGCGAGCGUUAUCCGGAUUUAUUGGGUUUAAAGGGUGCGUAGGCGGGCGUUUAAGGCAGGGGUAAAAUGUGGGGGCUCAACCCCGGCCUGCCGUUGAAACUGGCGGCCUCGAGUGGGCGAGAAGUAUGCGGAAUGCGUGGUGUAGCGGUGAAAUGCAUAGAUAUCACGCAGAACUCCGAUUGCGAAGGCAGCAUACCGGCGCCCUACUGACGCUGAGGCACGAAAGCGUGGGUAUCGAACAGGAUUAGAUACCCGGGUAC
rnacentral:rRNA from 1 species